UGAUGAUGAUGAGGACAAAUUCUGAGCAUGCCCUUUAAUCUCUCCCAAGCUUGGUAGAGAUUUUCUCCAUCUUUCGGUCUGAAACUCAAUAUCCCACUCCUCAAUCA
rnacentral:snoRNA from 1 species